GUGAGCAGGCGCGUCCCCGGGGAGCCCAGGGCGCAGGCGCAUAGCCAGGUCCGCGCGGGGUCUGCGGAGCCGUGUGGGUCGUGGUCUCCGCUGCUGGGAUGGAGGUGGGGGGCCGCGACGCUGUGAGAUUGUUUGAGUUCCCCACGGACGAGGCGCUCCCUUCUCCUUCCGUGGCUAGCGACUGGGGGAGGUCACCCGGGACCGAAAUUCACGCCUGAAGUGGCUGCAGUCAGAGGCGCGCAGAUUGGGAAGUUGGCCAUCAUGUAUAUAGAGAGGUUGAAAACUGCUCGGAACUCUGCGAAGGUGGGGAUGACGUAUUUGACUGCAUAUCGAGACGGUACUUGUUUGCAUAUGAAGAAGUUGUGGCACAACCCCAGUAAGGGACGUGACACCCCCCCUUCCCCCCACCCCGCGCUGUGACAGGCAGCCCCAAAGGACGCCACCCUUUUCUGCGUUGCGGACCUGCUCAGUGCCCAACUAGCAUCUCUCUGUGGUCAGCUGUGGGUGUCACCACUAGCCAACUCUUUAAAGACGCUUCCAGAAAUUUCCUCUGAGCCUGGGAGAGGACAGUAAAUAUACCUUGCAAGCAUUCAGGUCCAGAGGUACUGGGACGAGAACCCUGGGAUAUGAAAGGAGGGUCCAAAGCACGGGCCCCUCCUUGGAGAAGGCCGGCCUUGGGCAGGGGAGCUGCACCCCCAGGCCUCUGGCUCCCUGUGUGCUCAGAUGGCCGAUUGCGCCUAUUUUCGUCAGAGUCUACUUUGUCCUGAGAUGCUGACUUGCGUUCCUCCUUCCCACCCACCUGCCACAAGAUUCUUUGGGGGCCUUCUGACUCCCCACUCCUUCACUAGCAGUUUUGAUGAAUGAAGAGAAUAUAUUGAAUGGUGUCUGGCACACAGAUACUAGGUGACUCUAUGGGACCACAGAGAAGGGCAGGAGUGAUGGAGCAUCACGCCUGAGAUGAAGCCGAAAGACUACAGCUUCUACAUCUUCAACAUCACUCCCUCUGGGGAAACCAGCUGCCGCGUUGGGAGGAUACUCAGGGAACCUCUGAAGAAGCCCCCCAGGGUGCAGAACUGAGGCCUCCAACACUGAUGAUGCGAGUGAGCCCCCCAAGGGGGCAGCCUGGGCCGGCAGCGCAAACUGAGGCCCUGAAGGGGCCAUGAGCCAGCAGCACCCAGCCUCGCUGCUCCCAGAUUCUGACUCGCAGAAACUGGGUCAUAAUAAAUGUUUGCUGUCUCGGG